AUGGCUCAGGAUGAACGCUAGCGACAGGCUAACACAUGCAAGUCGAGGGGCGAGCACGGGAGUAGCAAUACUUGGUGGCGACCGGCGCGACGGGUGAGUAACGCGUAUGCAACCUACCUAUCAGGAGGGGAAGUAACCCGGCGAAAGUCGGACUAAUACCGCAUAAAACAGGGGCACCGCAUGGUGAUAUUUGUUAAAGAAAUUCGCUGAUAGAUGGGCAUGCGUUCCAUUAGGUAGUUGGUGAGGUAACGGCUCACCAAGCCGACGAUGGAUAGGGGAACUGAGAGGUUGGUCCCCCACACUGGUACUGAGACACGGACCAGACUCCUACGGGAGGCAGCAGUGAGGAAUAUUGGUCAAUGGGCGGGAGCCUGAACCAGCCAAGUCGCGUGAAGGAAGAAGGAUCUAUGGUUCGUAAACUUCUUUUGCAGGGGAAUAAAGUGCAGGACGUGUCCUGUUUUGUAUGUACCCUGAGAAUAAGGAUCGGCUAACUCCGUGCCAGCCGCAGC
rnacentral:rRNA from 1 species